rnacentral:SRP_RNA from 1 species
GCUGGGCGUGGUGGCGUGCGCCUGUAAUCCCAGCUACUCAGGAGGCUGAGGCAGGAGAAUUGCUUGAACCCAGAGGGCGGAAGUUGCAGUGAGCCGGGAUCGUGGCACUGCACUUCCGCCUGGGUGAUAGAGCAACACUCCGUCUCAA